UUCAGUAUCACAAUAAGGAGUUUGGCGUACACAAAGAGUUUUUGUUAAUACAAAUUUCAGCUGUAGUUCCUAAUUAAGAAACAGUCAGCAGCACUACACUGUCACACAAAGAUGAAGAACUCUUAUUCUCCUUACGUUUUUGAUACUACGUACCCCACUCCGUCGCCGAUAAGCCAAGUAUACGCUCUGAGCGCACUACAAAUGCACAGUCGAGCCCGUGCUGACAACAUAGGAAAAUAGAUGAGUUCAUAUAGUCUACCCUUACCGUGAAUCUCAACCCCUCGCAUUAACAGAUAUAGAAAUACAGCAGAACAUAGUGCAGUUGAUUAUUUUAUAUUAAAAUCUUAUGGAAUAAAAUGGAAGUAUCAGAAGAUAAUAAGGA